CCUACGGGUGGCAGCAGUGAGGAAUAUUGGUCAAUGGGCGUAAGCCUGAACCAGCCAAGUCGCGUGAGGGAUGAAGGUUCUAUGGAUCGUAAACCUCUUUUAUAAGGGAAUAAAGUGUGGGACGUGUCCUAUUUUGUAUGUACCUUAUGAAUAAGGAUCGGCUAACUCCGUGCCAGCAGCCGCGGUAAUACGGAGGAUCCGAGCGUUAUCCGGAUUUAUUGGGUUUAAAGGGUGCGUAGGCGGCCUUUUAAGUCGGCGGUGAAAGUCUGUGGUUCAACCAUAGAAUUGCCGUUGAAACUGGGAGGCUUGAGUAUGUUUGAGGCAGGCGGAAUGCGUGGUGUAGCGGUGAAAUGCUUAGAUAUCGCGCAGAACCCCGAUUGCGAAGGCAGCAUGCCAAGCCAUGACUGACGCUGAUGCACGAAAGCGUGGGGAUCAAACAGGAUUAGAUACCCCGGUAGUC
rnacentral:rRNA from 1 species